UCGGAUCCACUAGUAACGGCCGCCAGUGUGCUGGAAUUCGCCCUUACUGCUCAGUAACACGUAGUCAACAUGCCCAGGGGACGUGGAUAACCUCGGGAAACUGAGGAUAAACCGCGAUAGGUCAUAGUAUCUGGAAUGAUUUAUGGCUUAAAUCUAUAUGGCCUCUGGAUUGGACUGCGGCCGAUUAGGCUGUUGGUGAGGUAAUGGCCCACCAAACCUAAAACCGGUACGGGCUCUGAGAGGAGAAGCCCGGAGAUGGGCACUGAGACAAGGGCCCAGGCCCUAUGGGGCGCAGCAGGCGCGAAAACUCUGCAAUAAGCGAAAGCUUGACAGGGUUAUUCUGAGUGAUUUCCGCUAAGGAAAUCUUUUGGCACCUCUAAAAAUGGUGCAGAAUAAGGGGUGGGCAAGCCUGGUGUCAGCCGCCGCGGUAAUACCAGCACCCCGAGUGGUCGGGACGAUUAUUGGGCCUAAAGCAUCCGUAGCCGGUUCUACAAGUCUUCCGUUAAAUCCACCUGCUCAACAGAUGGGCUGCGGAGGAUACUAUAGAGCUAGGAGGCGGGAGAGGCAAGCGGUACUCAGUGGGUAGGGGUAAAAUCCGUUGAUCCAUUGAAGACCACCAGUGGCGAAGGCGGCUUGCCAGAACGCACUCGACGGUGAGGGAUGAAAGCUGGGGGAGCAAACCGGAUUAGAUACCCGGGUAGUCCCAGCUGUAAACGAU
rnacentral:rRNA from 1 species